GGAUAUUGCAAAACGCAAGGUUGAAAAGAUGAAGGAAAUAGCAAAGCUGAAGGCAAAAGAGGAGAAAAAGAGACUAGAAUCUGAGCUUGAGCUGGCAUUGAUAGUAGAGAAAUUGCAAGAAUUACGUUCCAUCAGGGUUCAGAAAUUGAAGAAGCAAGGUCACUUUCUCCCUGAGGAGGAUGACAAGUUUCUAGAAAAAGUAAGAGCUGCAGUCGAGGAAGAAGAGCGACAGGCAAAGGCAGCUGCUGAUACAGCUGCUGCUAAGGAUGCAAUUGCAACUGCUGAGGUAUCCAGGAAAACAAUCCAAAGUCAAAGACCAGAGCCUGGUGACCUGCAUGCUAAUACUGGUGACGAUAAAAUAAGUCCAGA
rnacentral:misc_RNA from 1 species